AGACUGCUCCCUCCCUCCCUCUUGGCCAUCCAGGGCAGGGAUGCCUUCACAGGCCAUGAGGAGAAGGAGGAACUCCAAAUCCCAUAAAGAGGAACACGAAGAACUUCCAAGAUGAAGCUGAGCCAAAACAAAGCAAAGCAGUUUCCUGAGCCAAGACGUCGCCUGACAUGAAAGAUAGCAUCUUAGAAUUGGGUUACAUGGUCUGGGAGGGUGGCCAGGAGCAUUCUGGUAACAUCUAGACUUGACUGGGGUGGGGUAUACUUAGCCAAAUUAGUGACGCCAUGUUGCCCGAAUAGUCCAGAGAGAAACCGUAUAAAAGGCUUUUCCACCAGUGCCUUGAAACAUCUCCUCUCUUCCGCCACUCGGCUUCUCCAUCACUUGGUAAGUUGUCUUGAACUGAAUCACUUCUUAGAGGAGAGAAGGAAGGAACUGUUUGAUUAUGGAGCAAAAUAAUUUUGAAAUUUGGUUCUGCAAAUUGAGAGACAAGAAGCAGUUUGGGGAAGAGAAACUCAAAUCUCUACAUCCAAGGAGUUGUGCUACUGGGAUUGUUUAGGGCUCAACAUAAAAUUUUAACCUAGAGUUGUAUUGGGGCUUUUAGAAAUGCGAAACUGGGUACUUUCAUGGCUGGAGGUCCAGCUCUGAGGGCCUUCUGGCGGUUCCCUCAUUGCGAGAAGCAAAGCUACAGGGAACUAGCCAGAGGGCCUUCUCGGUAGUGGCGCCCGCCCUGUGGAACGCCCUCCCAUCAGAUGUCAAAGAGAUAAACAACUACCAGACAUUUAGAAGACAUGUGAAGGCAGCCCUGUUCAGGGAAGUUUUUAAUGUGUGACAUUUUAAUGUAUUUUUAAUCUUUGUUGGAAGCCGCCCAGAGUAGCUGGGGAAGCCCAGCCAGAUGGGCGGGGUACAAAUAAUAAAUUCUUCUUCUUCCUAUUAUUAUUAUUAUGGAGCCAGCUCAGGAAAAACAGAUAAUCAGCAGCCGUGGUCCUGAGUGGUUUUGCAAAACCUUGCCUAGUGUCCCUGUUCCCUGUCUUUCUGGAGAAAGCUGCUCUGGCCAUGGUCAGACCUGC